CGGACGGGUGAGUAACACGUGGAUAACCUACCUAUAAGACUGGGAUAACUUCGGGAAACCGGAGCUAAUACCGGAUAAUAUAUUGAACCGCAUGGUUCAAUAGUGGAAGACGGUUUUGCUGUCACUUAUAGAUGGAUCCGCGCUGCAUUAGCUAGUUGGUAAGGUAACGGCUUACCAAGGCAACGAUGCGUAGCCGACCUGAGAGGGUGAUCGGCCACACUGGAACUGAGACACGGUCCAGACUCCUACGGGAGGCAGCAGUC
rnacentral:rRNA from 1 species